GAAAUGCGAUAAGUAGUGUGAAUUGCAGAAUUCAGUGAAUCAUCGAAUCUUUGAACGCACAUUGCGCCCUUUGGCAUUCCAAAGGGCAUGCCUGUUCGAGCGUCAUUUGUACCCUCAAGCUUUGCUUGGUGUUGGGCGUCUUGUCUCUAGCUUUGCUGGAGACUCGCCUUAAAGUAAUUGGCAGCCGGCCUACUGGUUUCGGAGCGCAGCACAAGUCGCACUCUCUAUCAGCAAAGGUCUAGCAUCCAUUAAGCCUUUUUUCAACUUUUGACCUCGGAUCAGGUAGGGAUACCCGCUGAACUUAAGC
rnacentral:misc_RNA from 1 species